rnacentral:rRNA from 1 species
ACGCUCGACACCUACGGAGGCAGCAGUGGGGAAUAUUGCACAAUGGGGGAAACCCUGAUGCAGCGACGCCGCGUGGAGGAAGAAGGUCUUCGGAUUGUAAACUCCUGUUGUUGGGAAAAGAGGAUGGUACCCCAACAAGGAAGUGACGGCUAACUACGUGCCAGCAGCAGCGGUAAUCUGAGCGGGCUGGCAAGGC